GAGCGAAACCGCCCCGGCCUGGCCGGGGAUGGUCUGCCGGGCGUGGUGGCCCGGUACUGAUGAGCAGCCCGAA
rnacentral:hammerhead_ribozyme from 1 species